UACAGAGGUCCCGAGCGUUGUUCGGAUUCAUUGGGCGUAAAGGGUGCGUAGGUGGCGCCGUAAGUGGGGUGUGAAAAUCCCGGGGCUUAACCCCGGGACUGCAUUCCUACUGCGGUGCUUGAGGACUGGAGAGGAGACUGGAAUUACGGUGUAGCAGUGAAAUGCGUAGAGAUCGUAAGGAAGACCAGUGGCGAAGGCGGGUCUCUGGACAGUUCCUGACACUGAGGCACGAAGGCCAGGGGAGCAAACGGG
rnacentral:rRNA from 1 species